rnacentral:rRNA from 1 species
GAAAGUAAAUAAGGGCGCAUGGCGGAUGCCUUGGCUCUCGGAGGCGAUGAAGGACGUGAUAAGCUGCGAUAAGCUUCGGGUAGGUGCAAAUGACCUUUGAUCCGAAGAUUUCCGAAUGGGACAACCCGGCAUUCUGAAGGAAUGUCAUCCAACUUGGUUGGAGGCUAACGCAGGGAACUGAAACAUCUUAGUACCUGCAGGAAAAGAAAAUAAAUAAUGAUUCCCCUAGUAGUGGCGAGCGAACGGGGAUUAGCCCAAACCACCCAUGUUACGGCAUGUGUGGGGUUGUAGGACCACGCUCUCGCAAGACAGUUAUUGAGAAGAAACGGCUGGAAAGUCGUGCCAUAGACGGUGAUAGCCCGGUAUUCUAAGGUAACCGAAGCGUAGUGGUAUCCUGAGUAGCGCGGAGCACGAGGAAUUCUGCGUGAAUCAGCCGGGACCAUCCGGUAAGGCUAAAUACUCCCGAGAGACCGAUAGCGAACCAGUACUGUGAAGGAAAGGUGAAAAGCACUUCGAAUAGAAGAGUGAAAUAGUCCCUGAAACCAUGCGCCUACAAGCGGUCGGAGCAGCGUAAGUUGUGACGGCGUGCCUUUUGCAUAAUGAACCUACGAGUUACUUUUUCCGGCAAGGUUAAGCAUCUUGAGAUGUGGAUCCGAAGCGAAAGCGAGUCUGAACAGGGCGGAUAGUCGGAAGGAGUAGACGCGAAACCAAGUGAUCUACCCUUGGGCAGGUUGAAGGUUAGGUAACACUAACUGGAGGACCGAACCGAUAAGCGUUGAAAAGCUUCCGGAUGACCUGAGGGUGGGGGUGAAAGGCUAAUCAAACUUGGAGAUAGCUCGUACUCCCCGAAAUGCAUUUAGGUGCAGCCUUGAGAGUUACUAAUGUGAGGUAGAGCGACUGAUAAGAUGCGAGGGCUUCACCGCCUAUCAAGUCUUGAUAAACUCCGAAUGCGCAUUAGUUCUAUCUCAGGAGUGAGGGCAUGGGUGCUAAGGUCCAUGUCCUAAAGGAGAAGAAUCCAGACCAUCAGCUAAGGUCCCCAAAUAAACACUAAGUUGAACUAACGAAGUCAGAUUGCUAAGACAGCUAGGAUGUUGGCUUGGAAGCAGCCAUUCAUUUAAAGAGUGCGUAACAGCUCACUAGUCGAGGAGUUUGGCGUGGAUAAUAAUCGGGCAUAAGUGUUUUACCGAAGCUAUGGGAUCCUAACGGAUCGGUAGGGGAGCAUUCCACUCUGCGUUGAAGGCUAAGCGUGAGCUUUACUGGAGCGUGUGGAAAAGCAAAUGUAGGUAUAAGUAACGAUAAAGGGGGUGAGAAACCCCCUCGCCGCAAGACUAAGGUUUCCUGAUCAACGCUAAUCGGAUCAGGGUUAGUCGGGUCCUAAGGCUCAGCCGAACGGUGAGGCCGAUGGCAGAACAGGUUAAUAUUCCUGUACUACCUGUAGGAGUGAUGUGGAGACGGAGGAGUGACAACGCCGCGGACUGACGGAAUAGUCCGUUAAAGGGUGUAGAUGUUGAUUAUCCCAGGCAAAUCCGGGAUAAGAGUCGAACCUGACAGUAUACCAAUUUCCCCGGAAAACGGUAAUAGUGCGUGUAAACAUACUCCCAAGAAAAUCCGCUAAACUUAAUCUUACAGGUACCCGUACCGUAAACGGACACACGUAGUCGGGUUGAAUAUACUCAGGCGCUUGAGUGAAUCACGGUUAAGGAACUAGGCAAAUUGACCCUGUAACUUCGGGAUAAAGGGUCCCUACCCGGUGACGGGAGGGCGCAGAGAAUAGGUCCAGGCAACUGUUUAACAAAAACACAGGGCUGUGCAAAAUUGAAAGAUCACGUAUACAGCCUGACACCUGCCCGGUGCUGGAAGGUUAAGAGGAGAUGUCAUCGCAAGAGAAGCAUUGAAUUGAAGCCCCAGUAAACGGCGGCCGUAACUAUAACGGUCCUAAGGUAGCGAAAUUCCUUGUC